rnacentral:rRNA from 1 species
GACGAGGGAUCCUAGCGUUGUUCGGAUUUACUGGGCGUAAAGGGCGCGUAGGCGGCCACCGCAAGUCGACUGUGAAAUCUCCGGGCUUAACCCGGAAAGGUCAGCCGAUACUGCGGGGCUAGAGUGCAGAAGGGGCAACUGGAAUUCUCGGUGUAGCGGUGAAAUGCGUAGAUAUCGAGAGGAACACCUGCGGCGAAGGCGGGUUGCUGGGCUGACACUGACGCUGAUGCGCGAAAGCUAGGGGAGCGAACGGG